rnacentral:rRNA from 1 species
UAGGGUUUGAUCAUGGCUCAGGACGAACGCUGGCGGCGUGCUUAACACAUGCAAGUCGAGCGAUGAAGCACCUUCGGGUGUGAAUUAGCGGCGAACGGGUGAGGAACACGUGAGAAAUCUGCCUUCAACACUGGGAUAACUCCGGGAAACCGGGGCUAAUACCGGAUAUGAAACCUGCGGGCAUCCGCGGGUUUGGAAAGUUUUUCGGUUGAAGAUGAUCUCGCGGCCUAUCAGCUUGUUGGUGAGGUAAUGGCUCACCAAGGCGACGACGGGUAGCCGGCCUGAGAGGGCGACCGGCCACACUGGGACUGAGACACGGCCCAGACUCCUACGGGAGGCAGCAGUGGGGAAUAUUGGGCAAUGGAGGAAACUCUGACCCAGCGACGCCGCGUGCGGGAUGAAGGCCUUCGGGUUGUAAACCGCUUUCAGCAGGGAAGAAGCGAAAGUGACGGUAACUGCAGAAGAAGCACCGGCUAACUAUGUGCCAGCCGCCGCGGUAAUAC